CGAAAAAUCACGUCGCGUUGUCGAAUCGCGUCCGGUGUGUCUGGACCUUUUAGACAUUUUCAAGCCGGCCUGGACUACCUGCCACACGUCAAUCUCUUGUCACCAAACAAGAAUAAACACAUGAUGCAUAAUAUCAUAGCUCACAGUAUGCUAAUCGCACGAGAAUUUCUCGUGACAGGAUCAAGUUCAUUUCAAUAAUAAACACUUUGCCAAAUAUGAUAGGAGCCUGUGUGUUUUAGGAUUCACGUGCCGACUUUUUAGCUUUGCUCAACCGUCUGACAGUUGACCUCGUGUUACCAACAAGCUACCAUACC